UUUAUCUUUCUAUAAAAUAAAAGAAAUAUUGAAUGAUACACAAUAUUAACUUUAACUGAUUCUUAUAAAUUUAGAAAAAUAUAUUUUUAUUUAUAUAAAUGAAUUCUGUAUUUCAUUUAUGUAAUAUUAUUUAUAAAACCAAAUAUAUUUUGAAAAUUGGAAACAAAUAUCCAUAAAAAUAUACAUAAAAUAUCUUUAAGCUUUUCUGAAAGCUUCCUAUUUAAUGUGUUAAAUGACAUCAUAGUACUCGAUUCAUAAAUUGCUUUGGUCAUUUCGUCUGACCAUUCUUUAUAAUAAUUGUAUAUUGUCUGCCUUAAUCAGCGAACUAUUUAUACGAGAAAGUCGCUAAAAAUAGUCGCUAUCUGCGCCGUUGUAUACAAGCGUGCUCGGAGGCAAAAGUUUGAUCCUCGAUAAAUAUCAAUUUAUUCGUAAAAUUCGUAUGUAAGCAGAAUAUAUCAAAAUAGUAUUACCUUAAUACAGUAUUUAUCCACUAUGUGCUCGGAUAUUUCUCGCGGAUAUACAUUAGGAAGUCAUCCCCACCACUGGAAAGAGAGAACCCAUUCUUGGACCAAAUGAAGCGAAUAAUUUCACGCUGAACCAACACGUACAUUUUAAUAUUUCAUAUAAAAGAAGAUAAAAUUUAAAUAGAUAAACAAAAAUGUACAUAUCAAUCAAAAAUGGAUUCAAGGACAUGCAAUGCAAAUAUAUUAUUUUUUAACAAAUUUAUAAAGCAAAUAUAAAGUAAAUACAAAGAUAAAAAUUAAUAAAAAUAGAUAAAAACUAUUUGUUAUUAAUAAUAAAAUAUAUAUUCGUGUAGCAAAUCAUCAGGAUUAUGGCUUGAUGAUGUGUAAUAAAAAUGAUGAUAACAGAGAAGGUAGAAAUAUAAGAGAAGUGAAAUAAUAUACAGGACGUCUCAGUUGAAGGAGGUCACCUAAAUAUUCUUUUCAUUUUUAACAAGAGAAAUUUUUAAAGCACAAUUUGAAUGAUUUAAAAAGAAAAAUACCGUGAAAAAAUUUUUCUUUUUUUUUUCAUAUGUAUAAAAUUAUGAGAAUCUUAAAAACUAAACAAAUGAUAAAAUUACAGGUGAUAAUAUGAAUUUAUCAUAUGUUAAAGAUAUUUAAAAUGUUUAUAUGUAUACAUAUAUAUAUUUUCUAAUUUACUGUUUGAUAAAAUCGAUAUUUUAUGAAAAUAUGUGAAAUAUGUGUUUGUAAAAAUUUUAUUUUUUACAAAAUAUAAAAAAAAUAAAUAUUUUUAAUAUUUAA